AAAAAUGUGGCUAAAUUAUGCUUGAUCAAAUACCCCCACACCUAGCUUUUUGCUUGUCCUCAAGCAACAAAUAACUUAGCUAAUCAAGCCCCUUUUUCCUUAGAGCCUAAGUACCACUUAAUCAGCCCCCCCUAGACUCCUAAGCUGAAGUAUCACAGUAUAGAGUACAUUCACCAAGGUCAUCCUCUCCUUUCCUUGUUUCCUUUCACCUCCUAUGGUCAAGAGAAAGGUUUCUAUCUCAAUCAUGCUUCUUCUUUUAUGUUAGGUUUAAUGUAACCCCUAGGAGUGACUUGCCACCUUCUCUUUUUCUCCUUUUUAUUUAAUUUAUAUUUUUAUUUUCAGCAGUACUUAUUCUUAUCCUUGCCUGAAAAAGUCAUUAACCUUUUUACGCGAUUGUGUACAUGGGUGAUACACCCCCGGUUACUCAGUUAGUCACUUGUUCAAGUGGCUACUAGCUCUGUUCAUAGUCUAGACCAUCGAAACUUAUUUGCUUGAAAAAGUUACUGACCUUUUUACGCGAUUGUGUACAUGGGUGAUACACCCCCGGUUACUCAGUCAGUUACUUCUCCAAGUGGCUAUUAGGCUCAGUUCAUAGUCUUAGACCAUUGGAACAAGUUUGUGAUUUGUGCUUUGUGCUGGUUUGUCAUGAUAGUUUGGGCAAAUCAGCUCAUAGGGAGUUACACUAGCUUUUUAUUUGCAUGUAUUUUUAUUUUUAUUUCCCUUUACCACAACAAGUUUAAGGGUUCAAUUCAAGUAAAGAACUUCCUAAGUGAAGGUAGCAUACUGUGAGUGAUUCAACUAAGGCUUAGAGGGGUGGCCAAUCAAUGGGGUCAUGAGAUAAGGAACUCUUUUAACUUCGUUAUCUAUGUUUGAGUAGAGCAAAAGCUAAGACAAAAUUCUGUGUGUAUGUGCAGAAAGUGUGAAGAGAAAAGAAAAAAAAUUCUGGUGUGUGCAAAAAGGGGUAAAAAUAAUGCAAAAAGCAACAAAAAGAAUGUAAAAGAAAACUAAAUAUGGUGAAAUCUGUGCAAAAUAUUCUCUNNNNN
rnacentral:lncRNA from 1 species